rnacentral:pre_miRNA from 1 species
UUAUUACUCCCUCCGUUCGGAAUUACUUGUCUCGAAAAUGGAUGUAUCUAGAACUAAAAUACAUCUAGAUACAUUCAUUUGUAUGACAAGUAAUUCCGAACGGAGGGAGUACAAC